GAGUCGGUCAGGCGAUCGCCCGGCCACCAGUGCGUGGCGGGGAGGAAAGUCCGGGCUCCACAGGGCAGGGUGCCAGGUAACACCUGGGGGGCGCGAGCCUACGGAAAGUGCAACAGAAAGGAUACCGCCUCCCCGUUUCGACAGGGGGGUAAGGGUGAAAAGGUGCGGUAAGAGCGCACCGCGCGGCUGGCAACAGGCGUGGCGAUGGUAAACCCCACCCGGAGCAAGACCAAAUAGGAAUCCGUCAGCUGUGGCCCACAGCGGAUUCGGGUAGGUCGCUACAGGCAGGUGGUGACACCUGUCGCAGAUGAAUGAUCGUCCACGACAGAACCCGGCUUAUCGACCGACUCGUC
rnacentral:RNase_P_RNA from 1 species